GAUUGAACGCUGGCGGCAUGCUUUACACAUGCAAGUCGAACGGUAACAGGCCGCAAGGUGCUGACGAGUGGCGAACGGGUGAGUAAUGCAUCGGAACGUGCCCAGUCGUGGGGGAUAACUACUCGAAAGAGUAGCUAAUACCGCAUACGAUCUAUGGAUGAAAGCGGGGGACCGUAAGGCCUCGCGCGAUUGGAGCGGCCGAUGUCAGAUUAGGUAGUUGGUGGGGUAAAGGCUCACCAAGCCAACGAUCUGUAGCUGGUCUGAGAGGACGACCAGCCACACUGGGACUGAGACACGGCCCAGACUCCUACGGGAGGCAGCAGUGGGGAAUUUUGGACAAUGGGCGCAAGCCUGAUCCAGCAAUGCCGCGUGCAGGAAGAAGGCCUUCAGGUUGUAAACUGCUUUUGUACGGAACGAAACGGCUCUGGUUAAUACCCGGGGCUAAUGACGGUACCGUAAGAAUAAGCACCGGCUAACUACGUG
rnacentral:rRNA from 1 species